GUGCUGGCUUGGGCAGCACACUUGCUGAAGUCGGAAUGACGCAGAGAGGAUCAGCACAGCUCCUGUGCAAGACUGACAUGCAAAUUUGUGAAGGGUUCCAUAUUUUG